UAGCACUCGGUGUUCCCAGGUGGUCACCCUCCCAAGUGCUGGGCUCACCCGAUGCUGUUUAGCUGCGGUGAUCAGACGAGAACCGUUGCUUUAAGAAUGGUAUGG